UGGGCCUUGUAUUUUUUUGGUACAAUAUAUAUUCUUCGAUGCUCUCCUUUGCUCUGCGCUACAUCGCGCAGGUUAAAGGUAUUUUCUGGAGUUCCGGUGACGAACCGGCCUCUCCAUAGGGCUGCGAGGCAGAGGCUUUAGCC